AGAGUUUGAUCCUGGCUCAGGAUGAACGCUGGCGGCGUGCCUAACACAUGCAAGUCGAGCGAUUCUUCUUCGGAGAAGAGCGGCGGACGGGUGAGUAACGCGUGGGUAACCUGCCCUGUACACACGGAUAACAUACCGAAAGGUAUGCUAAUACGGGAUAACAUAUUUUGAUGGCAUCAUCGAAAUAUCAAAGCUCCGGCGGUACAGGAUGGACCCGCGUCUGAUUAGCUAGUUGGUGAGGUAAUGGCUCACCAAGGCGACGAUCAGUAGCCGACCUGAGAGGGUGAUCGGCCACAUUGGAACUGAGACACGGUCCAAACUCCUACGGGAGGCAGCAGUGGGGAAUAUUGCACAAUGGGCGAAAGCCUGAUGCAGCAACGCCGCGUGAGCGAUGAAGGCCUUCGGGUCGUAAAGCUCUGUCCUCAAGGAAGAUAAUGACGGUACUUGAGGAGGAAGCCCCGGCUAACUACGUGCCAGCAGCCGCGGUAAUACGUAGGGGGCUAGCGUUAUCCGGAAUUACUGGGCGUAAAGGGUGCGUAGGUGGUUUUUUAAGUCAGAAGUGAAAGGCUACGGCUCAACCGUAGUAAGCUUUUGAAACUGAGAAACUUGAGUGCAGGAGAGGAGAGUAGAAUUCCUAGUGUAGCGGUGAAAUGCGUAGAUAUUAGGAGGAAUACCAGUUGCGAAGGCGGCUCUCUGGACUGUAACUGACACUGAGGCACGAAAGCGUGGGGAGCAAACAGGAUUAGAUACCCUGGUAGUCCACGCCGUAAACGAUGAGUACUAGGUGUCGGGGGUUACCCCCCUCGGUGCCGCAGCUAACGCAUUAAGUACUCCGCCUGGGAAGUACGCUCGCAAGAGUGAAACUCAAAUGAAUUGACG
rnacentral:rRNA from 1 species